rnacentral:rRNA from 1 species
GUAGUCCACGCUGUAAACGGUGGGUACUAGGUGUGGGUCGCAUUCCACGUGAUCCGUGCCGUAGCCAACGCAUUAAGUACCCCGCCUGGGGAGUACGGCCGCAAGGCUAAAACUCAAAGGAAUUGACGGGGCCCCGCACAAGCGGCGGAGCAUGCGGAUUAAUUCGAUGCAACGCGAAGAACCUUACCUGGGUUUGACAUGUACUGGAAGCGCUCAGAGAUGGGCGUGCCUUUUCGGCCGGUUCACAGGUGGUGCAUGGCUGUCGUCAGCUCGUGUCGUGAGAUGUUGGGUUAAGUCCCGCAACGAGCGCAACCCUCGUCCAAUGUUGCCAGCAGUUCGGCUGGGGACUCGUUGGAGACCGCCGGGGUCAACUCGGA